UGCCAGCCGCCGCGGUAAUACGGAGGGUGCGAGCGUUAAUCGGAAUUACUGGGCGUAAAGGGCGCGUAGGUGGCUAGACCAGUCGGGUGUGAAAGCCCCGGGCUUAACCCGGGAAUUGCAUUCGAUACUGUCUAGCUAGAGUGCAGUAGAGGGAAGCGGAAUUCCGGGUGUAGCGGUGAAAUGCGUAGAUAUCCGGAGGAACACCAGUGGCGAAGGCGGCUUCCUGGACUGACACUGACACUGAGGCGCGAAAGCGUGGGGAGCAAACAGGAUUAGAUA
rnacentral:rRNA from 1 species